CGAAACUUGCCCCGAGAUGAGUUCUCCCUGACCCUUUAAGGGUCCUGAAGGAACGUUGAAGACGACGACGUUGAUAGGCCGGGUGUGUAAGCGCAGCGAUGCGUUGAGCUAACCGGUACUAAUGAACCGUGAGGCUUAACCUUACAACGCCGAAGCUGUU
rnacentral:rRNA from 1 species